UGUAUAUCUUAAAUUUUGAUUUAAUUUUCUAUUUUUACGAAGACAUUUUAUUUUGAGUCAGAUUUAUGAUCAGUAAAUUUUAAUUUAGCAUCCUAAAAUCUGAGUAUUGUCUAGAUUUAUUAUAAGUAAAAUCGUAAUUCAGUUUUUAUGUGUUCAAUUACUAAUCGUUUUACUGUAAGUGAAGUUGGAAUAAAAUUUCUAGUUUUAAAAGCCGUCGGAUUCCGUCUUUAAAAAAUUUAUUGUGGUUGCAAUUUACUGUCAGCAAAUUUUAACUCAAUUUGUAGAAAAGCAUAUUUUAUAUCCUGUGUAUAUUGUAUUUUACUAUUGUGUGUAUUUGGGGGAUUUUGUUUAGUAUUAUUUCAUUUACACGGUACAAGCGUAGACGGAUCCAGUUUUUAUUUUGUUUUAUUGAUGUGAAUGUGUGAUUCUCCGGAGUUGUCUAGUGUUAUUUCAUGUUUAAAGGAGUAGACGUUUCUGCAGUAUAUUUUAUGUUUAUUGUAUUUUAGUGUGGAUGUCCAUUUUCUUAUUUCAUUCCGGGGUGUGACUCGGGAAGAAAGAGUAGUUUCUUUAUACUUGAUUUCAAAAUAAAUUGAAAUGGAUAUUUGUUCUCGGUGAAUUGAUUACAAGAAGAGAUUGUUUCAUUUCUAACAAGAUUUAAGAGUAAGGAAGAGAAAACUGUGAACUUCUCAGCUCGGAGCGUAAUUUAGUUUCACUUUAGAAGCUGUGCUCUCAUUCUGCUUCCUUUCCGUGACGGGCUGGUAGUUUUACUUUCAUUUUGAAGAAAAAUACAACUGAAAGAAGUUAUAUGUUAUAGAUUGUCAAAGCCGAAAAGGGCGUACGGAAGAGAAAUACACCCAGUCCGAGAGAGAUAAUAGACGAAAAGUGUAGAAGUAGAGAGAUUCAAACGAUUACUGAUAUUUAAUAAUUUCGAUUGCAGUAGUGGAACAGGGUUUAAUAGAACUCAGCCGACUUUGUCUGAAACUAAGCCGUGGUUAUCAUAAAAGCAUAUGGUGCCUGUGAAUUGAUUGAGACGCUUAUUGGAUGCAUUGUUUCGAGCCGUAAUAAGAAUAUUGUAACUUUCAGGAAAACUUUAGAAAAGUAGUGAGAUCAGCAAGAGAUUUGAGAAGUGCUGGUUGUUUUAUGGAAAUUGACAUUUGAACGUGUGAUAAGAAAUAGAUGUUAUUGAUGUGAACUUUAAUUUCAAUUUUGACAAGUAUUGAAGGCCCUUACAUUUUUUAUUUUGGCAAAGCUUAUUUUUAGUUUCUAAUUUUAACAAGUAUUACACAAUAUUGAAUUUUUAUUUUUGAUAAAUUUUGUUUUUUACUUUAACCAGCAUUGCAUAUUCUUACAUUUUAAUUUUGAUAAAUUUUAUUUUUUAACUUUAACCAGUAUGACAUAUUGUUACAUUUUUUAACUUUGAUAGAUGUUGUUUUUUAAUACGUCCUAAAUAUCAUUUCAUUUUUGAGAUUUUAAAUUUCUAAUUUGACAAGUUUUAUAGAAUGAAUGUAGUUUGAAUUCUGACAGGAGUUACAUAUUGCCAGAUUGAAUUUGAUUUAAGUUUUGACAACAUCUUGAAUCCUUUUUAACCGUCAUCAAGCAAGAGUUGAAUACCAUUACAUUUUCAUUUCAAGAAGAAGUAACAAUACUGAAUUUUAUUGUCUGGCAAUAGUAUUAAAGUGAACUUUAAUUUUAAUAAGAAGAGGUGAUUGUUGUUCGUUUGACUAAGAAAACACAGAAAAUAAUUUUGUGAGAAUUUUUGUGUAUUUACAGAAGGACUGACAGCAAAUAACAUUGAGAGGAAGAAUAAACGAGAUAUUCAGGGUAAGACAUAUUUUAGUGGAAGAUAACAUGAAGACUCUUAAAGAGCAAUGGGAGGCAGCCGUAGAACAGCUUUUGAGUGGGUUAGAAGAAAGAGAAAGGCUCAAAAAGACUCAGAAAUUGCAAGAAAUGUAUGAAGAAUGGAAACAACUUAAGGGUUACGAAGAUAGGACGAAGACAAGUUUGAAAGAGCAAGUAAUUGUUCAAGAAAGUGAAGCGCACAGGAAGUUUCAGAGAGAGGACAAAAAGGAAGUGGGGUUUCUAGCUAGAAAGAAGCAUGACAAGGAAGUGAAGAGACUACGUGAAGAGUUUAAUUUGUGGCAUAGUAUGGCAGUUAGUUGUGUGGCUUUGGUACAGUUGGAUAGAGAGAGACAAGAGACAGAAAAGAAAGUAGAAAUAAAAAAGAGUGACCUUAAAGAGAAGGAAGCAAACAAAAUUCAAGAGGGGAGGGAAAUAGCAUCCAUAUAUCCAGCACUGCCACCCACUGCUCCACCUCCAUAUGCCCCGCCCCAUACACAGUUGCCAGUAUUUGAAGUACAAAAGGGUGUGUUGGACAUGGAGCAGCGGGAGGGAAAUCGCUGGAAAAUAAAAUCAGGGAAAUUAAAUUUAAUAACAGAAAACGAGACAGAGGAGAGAGAAAUAGCACGAGAAACAGCUGAAUUGAUGAGAACACAUAGAGAGCAAGCGGCACAGGCAGAACAGAAGAUGGCAGCUCUGGAGAAAGAACUGAGGGAACAAUGGAAUAGCGUAGUACAGGAAAGGACAUUUCAACCCGGAGCACAAAGCACCCCAGGAGAAACAUUGAGUAGCAGAUUCAUAACAGUGGACGAGACUGGGAGUCAGAUAGAGGUUGAAGAACAGGGAACAUAUCCAGUUGAAAUAUGAACAGGAAUGUAGGGAACUACAUCUCAUUCGUAGGGUACCUAAUAUCUGCCCCCUAGUGGAGACAAUUGGAAAGGUAGAAUACAAACCAUGGUCAUUCACAGACAUGGGAGCUAUCCUUGCAAAGCUACCUCAUAUCACGAGUGGUGGGGGUAAAUGGAUAGGGAAGGUAAUAACUUUGACACAAGGGCAUACGUUGGCGAUCGGAGACCUUAGAGCAUUAUUGGGACAGGUACUGACCGUAGGACAGAUUACGGAAAUUGAGCGAGAGGCAGGAACGGUAGGAUUAUAUGAUGACUAUCCAUACUGUCGAGUUGCAUCAGAUUGGGGAAAGGCACUGCGAAAGCUGUACCCAGCGCCAGCAGGCACCCUUUACAAUAUAAAAUUUUCUCCAAAAGGGGAAGAAACAGCAGCAGCAUAUCUGAGUCGAUGCAAAGGAGAGUGGGAAGAGCAAACAGGGGCUCAUCCACAUUCAGAUAGAAUACAGGAACAGAUGUUCAGAGCUGCUGUAUUGGAAGGGACUCCUAAAUCUGUACAGGAUGAAAUAAAAGCCAACCCCGACUUACCAGGUGCUUUAUGUGAGGUUUGGGAACGACAUUUCCUUCAUCACAUGUCUAGGGCGAACGAAAAAGAAAAAGAAAAGGUAGGGGAAGUAGAGGAAUUGAAAAAACAGUUGCUAAAAUUACAGUUGCAGGAAGCAAGAUCUAAAUUAAAUGAAGAAAAAGGGAAAAAGAAGGAUAUACAAAUGGUAGUUCAGGAGAUGAAAGCCCCUCCAAGAUAUAACAAAGAACAGGAAGUUGACCCAUCAAAUGUUAUAUGGGAGAGAACCACCCAAAGACCAAUGUAUUACUCCAAUAGAGGUAGGGGUGGGGAUUACAAUAGGGGGAGGGGAAGAGUGCAGUAUCAGGAAGGGUGUUUCCGUUGUGGUCGUCCGGGACACUUCGUCCGUGAUUGUCGGCAACCUGAACUCGGAGCCCAACAGAGACCGUCUCGGGGCAGAGGCCAUAACCCACACAUGGCCCCUAACGUGGAAAAAGCACCACGACCGCACUCGCAGUACCCUUUGUCCACUGGAGGGGAAAGGGAGUGGUACUGAGACAGCCCACGGAACGACCUCAGCAGGGUCAGGGCGGAACCCUUGCUGACUUUGGAGACGAAACCACUGAAGUAAGGGGGUUUUCCGGGGCUAUAACUAGACUGCCAUUCUCCAAAGAACUCACAGUGCAGUGCAUGAAAAAACAAUCACUGACUCACUCUUUUCUGCUGUCAUAUUCCUCACCGACAAAUUUGUUGGGAAGAGACUUGCUAGUGAAACUUGGAGCUGAAAUCCUAUGCAGCCCGGAGGGGAUUAUAGUAACUGUGAAAAAUGGUAUCACCAUGAACUGUUCCAUCAUGUCCACAAUGAGAACACAUGGACAAUGGUUACUUUCUGCAAACACCUCUCCACAGGGAGCUGACAUUUACUGGGGGAGGGUGCUUCUGGGGGACACAGGUAACACCCUGAAAGAUCUGUACUCUCAAUGGGAACCUUGGAUAUUGUCAUUAGCGCCAUACACCCAGCUAAUAGAUCCACUGCAUGUCACUCUGUUUUAUGAUAGAACACAAGAGUACUGGUACCAAGAACAAUUUGAUAACAUUGCAGGAGAACAGUGGGAAAUUUUUGGGGCAGGAAUACUGAUGGGAGUGGCAGGUAUUGUAGAACUUACCCCCGAACAGGAACAAUGGUAUAAAAUGAGGGAAGAGGCAUCACCCCAUAUAUCAUUGUUAGUACACCCCCAACACCAAGCUAAAGAUCUAGGACCAAUGGUAAAGAAGGGAAUACACUUAACAGAUUGGAGGGAAACCCAACUUCCUGGUGUAAAAUAUUCAUCUAGCUCAGGGUAUUAUUUGAUCACACAGGAAACAAAAGACACUGUAGUGUUGGAACACGAAUGGCUCACAAGAUGGCAUGGUAGGGAGAAAAGUGAUCAUGAAGAUGCUGAAACAAUGUUGAAAAGUUUGCCCGACCAGUUAUGGACUCAGAGUCCCACAGAUGUAGGGUUUUGUAAAAAUUACCCAGAAAUUUCGUUCGAGCUGACAUGUGAUGAUCCAAUUUGGAGGCCUCAGUAUAAGCACAAACCAAAGGCAGAGGAAGGUAUCAAAGAUACCAUUGAAGGUUUGUUAACCGCAGGGGUUUUAGAGUAUGCUGAUUCCAAUUGAAACACACCCAUUCUGCCUGUGGAAAGACAAAACACAGGAAAAUUCAGAAUGGCACAUGAUUUGAGAACAAUCAAUCAAAUCAUGAAAACUCCAACUUUACCUGUUCCAAACCCAUACACUUCUCUGAAUGAAAUCACUCAAAAUCAAUCAUGGUAUACUUGCAUCUAUCUCGCUAAUGCUUUCUUCUGUUUACCCCUUGCAGAGCAUGUGAGAAACAUUGUUUGACCGUACUCACCGGACAAUCUGUGGUAGCUUUUGUGAAUUCGUCAUCAUUUACAUUUUCCACUCUGAGACAAAGAAAGUUGGAAAACUGUCUCGCACAACCAAAUUUGGUUUUCACGCAUGAGGGCAUAAACAUGGCCUCAUAUUGGACAGAAGGAGAACCCCAUGACUGUUGUAUGACCGUGGAAAGGGAAGAGAAAAUUAGACCAGAUUUGUUGACAAAAAUCAUUCCAGAGGGAGUUAUGGUGUUUUCAGAUGGAUGCUGUUUCAGAGAUUCGAAUGCAACACUGAGGUCAGGAAUAGGUAUUGCAGCACUGGAAGAGGAAGACAUUGAAAUAUUGAUAGCAGAACCUUUACAGGGACAUCAGUCAGCUCAGAGAGCAGAAAUUGUGGCAAUGACAAAGGCGCUAGAGUGGGGAGAAGGAAAAAUAAUUAACCUUUUUAGUGACUCUACCUAUGCAGUGGGUGCAGUUGUAACAGAAUUGCCUAAGUGGAAAAGAUGUGGUUUUAUGGCAGCUAACAACAAACCUAUUAAACAUCAGGAAGACAUCAUAGCAUUAGCAACAGCUAUUAUGAAACCCAAGCAGGUGGCGAUCAUAAAAUGUAAAGGUCAUGAUACCAGUAACUGAGAUGCGGCACAAGGUAACCAGAUAGGACAUGGCGGCAAAGCAAGGUGCAGGGUACAUUACACAAAUGGUGUUACAAGAUGCGGAACAGGAAGGUACCAAUAACAUUUUACCUGACCCAGACAUAGCAGUAGAACAACACAAAGCCUCACCUGAGGAAAAAUCUAUGUGGCUUCACAAAGGGGCGGUACAUUUAGACAAUGGCUGGGUGGGACCUGACGUAAACUAGUUAUUCCACCUAGUAUGAUAAAACCCCUUAUCACUCAAGCACACACCCCCUAACAUGUUGGAAUCAAACAAACCAUUUCCAAUCUUAACCAGUGGUGGCACCAAUACCUGGCUGCUACAGUUAAAGAAUUUAUCGCUAACUGCAGGGUGUGCUCCAUACACAAUGUACGUGCUGGAGUGAAAUGUGCCGCAGGAGUCUUCCCGCCACGGGGACCUGGUGAGGAAGUGGUUAUCGAUUACACAGACCUGGGGGAGAGAGUGGAAGGUAAACGUUAUCUUUUAGUUUUCAUGAAUGUGUUUUCAGGUUGGCCAAAGGAGUGGCCCACGGGGAAGGAAGAUUCGAUUUCGGUGAUUAAGUGUUUGAUUAACCAAUAAAUUCCGCGUUACGGUUUUCUGCUAAUAAAUCGCUCAGACAACGGUACACAUUUUAAGAAUGCGGAUUUACAAAAGGUUGAGAGUGCACUGGGAUUGCGUUUCCGUUUCGGGACCGUAUACCAUCCUAAAUGACAGGGAAAAGUUAAACGUAUGAAUCUUAACCGCAUGACCUCAUUUAAACCAUUUGAACUUCUGACGGGUCGUUCAUUUCCUGGUCCGUUCAACCCAGUGCACCCUGAACAAAUAAAAAUCUUGAUCACAGAACAUAAUUAACCAAACUGAAUGAUAUUGUUUCAAGUUUUUCCAAACAGAAAACCAUCUCUCAUGCACAUCUCUCCAGAUGCAGAAAUCAAUAAUUGGCGGAUUGGGUGCUCCUAAGGGAUAUGGUAAGAUUGGACCUGCAGGAACUGCAGGACCAAAAGGGGGAAUCCAACACAGGGGAACAACAGCAGGUUGACAUUUCUCAAAAGAACACAAAAGUAACACACAAAGAACUAAAGGGGGACUUAUUAAACAGUCCAGAACAUGAACUCAAAAAACACUGUGAAGAACAAAGGGUAAAAAAGUUGGCUAUACCUAGGAUUGGGUGUGGUUUGGACAGACUAGAGUGGGAAAAAGUAAGGGAUUUAAUCAAAGAAGAGGUCCAAAACACAGAAAUAAUCAUUACUGUGUAUGUAAGGGAAUAAUAAGUGAAAAAAGGGAGAUUGGGAUUGUGAAGUAUUUUACUAUUUUUUAAAUAUUUUACAUUUUUAUUUUGAUAUUUUUCAGAUAUUUUCCAUUUUUCCAUUUUGAGAGUUUUUAAAUAUUUUACGUUUUUCUAUUUCAUGAUUUUCAAAUAUUUGACACUUUUCUAUUUUCAGAUUUUAAGAUUUCACAUUUCAAUAUUUUACAACUUCCAAGUAUUUUACAAUUUACUAUUUUUGGUGGUUUUUAAAGGUGUUACAUUUGAUCAUUUUCAUGAGUUUCAAGUAUUUUACACGUGACAUUUUACAUUUUUCUACAUAUUGUGAUUUUUCAAGGGUUUUGCAUUUUACAAUAUUUUAUGAUUUUCAAAGGACUUACAUUUUAAUAUAUCCUUUUGUGAGCAUUGUUGAAAAUAUUUUGAUGACAUAUAUUCUUUCAGGGGUAUUUUCGGAGACAUCAUAACAUCGUUUUGCAUUUUUUAUAGAUUAUUUUACAAGGACAUUUUGAAGAUAUUUUACAAUUAUUUUGAAUUAACAUAGAUUCUUUUGCUAUAGUGUUGUGUUUGACAGUUUUACUUUUAACGUGUGUGUUUUGAAAUUAUUUCACAUCCAGUUUGACUAUAUUUUACAGCCUUCAUCUAUAUCUUUACAAAUGUUUCAUAAUUCUUUUAUUUCUGGGAUAUUUUACAUUUUUAUUAAUUGACAGUUUUAGAGGAGUAUUUACUAUAUUUUGGUUAUAUUUGAGUGUGUGGAGGAUAAACUUUUGCUAUAUUUUACAGGACGUUUAUAAUACAUGUUCACCAAAUAUUUCACAGUUCUUUUAUGAUAAUCUAUAAGGUUUAAUAAUAAGAGGUGCACGAAGAUAAUGUAUAUUGUAUAAGGUUUGUGCCUAUCUUCUUAAAAUAUUUUCAAGCAGAGAUAAGAUUUACAAGAAUUCAUAUAUUUGCGGUAGUGCCUGUUUAAAAUAAAUAAACAAAUAACUAAUCUGACAAAAAUUCAGGAAUCGAUAACCCAUUCAAUAGCUGGAUGACAAAAUGGUUUGGGCAAUACAGUGCGCUGAUUACUUCAUUAUUAAUGUCCAUCGCAGUGGCCGCGGCGAUACUUGUAACCUGCGGGUGUUGUUGUAUUCCAUGUAUCAGAUCUUUGUGUAACAGGUGGAUCGUGAAGACGGUGGAGGGGAAGGAUCCUCCACCGUAUCAGAUGCCACUGCUGGGAGCAGUAGGGCUAAACGAAGAAGAACCAAAGGAGGAGGAGUCAGAGGUUGAUCUCCUGUAAAGGAGAUCAAAAGGGGGAAUGAAGGAAAAUUAGAACAUUCCCACAUCCGCAUAUCCUUGAAAUAUGAAUAUUAACCGUGCUUUGAAUAAUCAUGAUUUUAUUAUUGCAUUAUUAAUGAUUGCAUUGCCUUUAAUCUUAAAGAUUUUAAGAAUAGCUUUGAGUAUUAACCUUUAGCAUAUAGUACUAAAGUUAGAAUAGUCUAGCAGGCUUAGAGAUAUGAUUCCAUUGUAUAUGGGUUUUGAUAGUUGACUUUUAAAUGUCAUGUGCAAAUUUAGCAGGCUUGGAGUUUUUUCGGUAUGUAUGUAUGUAUGUGUGUUUUUUAACUUUUGCUUUGCAGAGACACCUGGGGAGAAAAACAGGAUGUCGGGGCAGGGUGAAAUAACGGUCAUAGCUAUUUAUAACAGGAUGAACUUCUAAAACAGAAGUACAACUUUCCAUCGAACGGGUCUGGUGAACCUUUAAGAAAGAAGUAAAACUUUCCAUCGAACAGGCCCCCACCAAACUGCACAUAUAUAUAUUUUGGGUCAGAGGGAGAGGGAGAAGAGAUCAACCGCUUCUCGGGGGAUUUGUUUCUGCAUUGGUGUUGUGUAAAGACAGGGACAGUUUUUGACCCAGAGCUCUGUAAUAUUUCAUUUGAGAUACUUAUUAAAAAUAAUUUGAUUUGA